ACGGGAGGCAGCAGUGAGGAAUAUUGGUCAAUGGACGAGAGUCUGAACCAGCCAAGUAGCGUGCAGGAUGACGGCCCUAUGGGUUGUAAACUGCUUUUGUACGGGGAUAAAGUGACCUACGUGUAGGUUUUUGCAUGUACCGUAAGAAUAAGGACCGGCUAAUUCCGUGCCAGCAGCCGCGGUAAUACGGAAGGUCCGGGCGUUAUCCGGAUUUAUUGGGUUUAAAGGGAGCGUAGGCCGUGCUUUAAGCGUGUUGUGAAAGGUAGGCGCCCAACGUCUGCACUGCAGCGCGAACUGGAGCACUUGAGUACGGAGGAAGUAGGCGGAAUUCGUCGUGUAGCGGUGAAAUGCUUAGAUAUGACGAAGAACUCCGAUUGGGAAGGCAGCUUACUGGAGCGCCACUGACGCUGAUGCUCGAAAGCGUGGGUAUCGAACAGGAUUAGAUACCCUGGUA
rnacentral:rRNA from 1 species